AGAACGAUCCCUAUUUAUUACGUACUACUAAUGACAUUUCAGGGUUAAAUUAUGCGCUUGCUUUCAGGCGCAUCAAUAUGGUUUUAUCUUCUCAUUUAGUUUCACUUUCUUUUCAAUCUUCUGAAGUUAUAACUUUAGUAUUCACUAGUGUUCUGUUUUUCACUUACUCUACUCAGUAGCAGCUGGCAUAAGGUUGUUUGUAGCAAGACAUUCCUCACCAUCUUCACCAUUUCUAACUACAUUUCCUUCUGUGAAUCUUGAAGGCAGUGAGAGAUAAAGAAGGGAUUCCUGUGUUGGAAGAUGUGGGUGAAGGAGUAAUAAGUGAGGAAAAGAUAGUGGGGAGGGAGUUGUUGGAGCUUUUGAGAGAUGUUAAGGACCAUUUCAUGAAGGCCUAUGAUUCUGGUUUGGAUGUUUCAAGGAUGCUAGUGUCUAACAUGGUUCAGAUGCUAUCUGCAUUGGAGGAGAUUGAAGUGUCAUCUUGUUGCAUGCGUUGGUUAUCUCGCUUGCAGGUCCUUCUAUCCAUAUGAUCACUGCUAAAAUGUCCAAACAAAUAUGAUCCUCUGGUACCUGAGAUUGCUCACAUGAACAACCGCAAAGUCAUCGUCUGUGACAACGACACCAGAAAGUAGAAGAAAGAAGAGAGGAGCAGCAGGAACAGGCAUAUUACAUCAGUGGUGGCAGAAGUAGAAGAAAGAAAAGAGGGGCAACAGGAGCAAGCAUUAGUAGUGGGCGAAGUGGGCAAGCAAUCAUAAAUAGUCCAAUCAUCACUGUAUCCAUUUCUAGCACACUUAUGUUUUUGUCUCUGAUGCAAUGUAAGACAAUAAAUUGUCACUGAUUCAUGACUUUGUGGAAUAAUGACUAAUACGAAUGUAUAUAUCUUGGUGGAUCCAAUGUAUUUUGAAGUUUAAAGUAUGGGU